rnacentral:rRNA from 1 species
UACGUAGGGCGCGAGCGUUGUCCGGAAUCAUUGGGCGUAAAGAGCUCGUAGGCGGCCGGUUGCGUCUGCUGUGAAAUCCCGGGGCUUAACCCCGGGCGUGCAGUGGAUACGGGCUGGCUGGAGGCAGGCAGGGGAGAAUGGAAUUCCCGGUGUAGCGGUGAAAUGCGCAGAUAUCGGGAGGAACACCGGUGGCGAAGGCGGCAUCCUGGACCAACACUGACGCUGAGGAGCGAAAGCCAGGGGAGCAAACGGG